rnacentral:rRNA from 1 species
UACGGAGGGUGCAAGCGUUGUUCGGAAUCACUGGGCGUAAAGGGCGUGUAGGCGGUCCGCUAAGUCUGAUGUGAAAGCCCGGGGCUCACCCCCGGAAGUGCAUUGGAAACUGACGGACUCGAGUCCCGGAGAGGAGGGUGGAAUUCCUGGUGUAGCGGUGAAAUGCGUAGAUAUCAGGAGGAACACCGGUGGCGAAGGCGGCCCUCUGGACGGUGACUGACGCUGAGGCGCGAAAGCUAGGGGAGCGAACGGG